rnacentral:lncRNA from 1 species
CGCAGUUUGACCCCAAGAAAGCAGCAAUUUGACCCCAAGAAAGCAGCCUCCCCUUAAGGGCCAAGGAGCCCCGGCACUAUGAAAGUGCCCUCCCUGCUAAGACCCAGGGAGAAGUAAGGGGUGUGAAGGCGGGGCCAUGGGUUGGCGACACCCUCCCGAAGGUCCAGCCCUCGCCCGCCUUCCUACCACCUUAGGGAGCUGGCACGAAGAGCGGGAUCACCCUCUCAAUGAAAGGCAGAUGUCCCUUUAAGGUUUGCUUUGCACUCCGUGGACUUUAGCCUAAACACGAACCCGCGAAGCUGGCUUUAUUUGUCCAUGUCUCGGACAGAGCCUGGGAGGCUGCCAGUGGGAUUUCAGAGACCGAGCGCGCGAAGGGGCGGGCGAUGGGGCAGUAAGUCUGGGAUAUGAAAAGCGUGGAGAGGACCUAGAGGCAUUCGUCGAAAACACAGGAAAUUCACUCUUCGGCUUCUGGGCGCCGCGACUGACCGGGGCCGGAGACUGAGACCUGCGGCGGCAGAGUGGCCAAGAGAUCCAGCGAUUACCCCGGGCUCUGAGGGCACCCCGGCCCAGGCCCCCCGACGCCAAGCCAGCCCAGGGGUCGCUGUCGCCUGCUGUUGGCUUCUCACCGAAUCUCUGAGGAAGAUAACUGAGACGUCAGUAUCAAGACUUGUGCCAAAGUCAGAUUCCUCCUUUUCAUUCUGGUCUCGUCAGUUCGAGGUGUUAAGAUUCCCUUUCAGUGCCAUACACAAAAGAGAAAGAGAAUUGAGAAGGUAUGUGGGUAGGACUUCUCUGUUCCCCUGUGUUUGGGGGGGGGGGUGUUUUUGUUUUGUUGUUGUUGUUUUGAGAUUUUAUUUAUUUGAGAGAGAGCGAGAGAUCUAAAUCGCGACCAGGAGCGGUGGGAGAGGGAGAAGCAGACUCCCCGUUGAGCGUGGAGCCUGUAGGGUCUCAAUCCCAGGACGCUAGAGCUUAUGACCUGAGCUGAAGUCAGAUGCUUAACCCACUGAGCCACCCAGGCGCCCCUCUCCAUCUCAUCCUAACUCUCAAGGAAACUCUGGUGGUCUUUUUCUAUUCACUGAUCU